GCUGGAGUUGGAGGUUUGGGAGCAGGACUCGGGGCUGCAGGGAAACCUCCCAAACCAGGGGUCGGAGGACUUGGGGGGGUCGGAGGACUUGGGGGACUCGGCCCCCUUGGCCU